rnacentral:lncRNA from 1 species
GUUUGAAGUUUUUAUAUGAAUCUGUUAGCAUGGAUCUUAAUUUAGCACAGGAUCUACAUAAAAAAAGUGAUUAGCAUUUAAUGUUUGUUAUAUUAACAGCAGGUUAUACAUGUAUUAUCCAGAGACAAACUCUGGAAGGUGCCAAAUUUUCCCAGUGGACCUGCCAGAAAUUAAUGCCCAGUGUUAAUUACUUUUGUUUAUUAUUUUCAUAAUUAUUUGGCCAGUCAGUUAAGGAUUUUAUUAUAUACAUGUACACAGUGAAUACCGGUCAUGUGUUAACCUGCUCUGACAUCUUAUGAAUAUUCCUAUUGUAUUUGUGCAGGAAAUUUACACUUUAACUUUUAAGGAUAAAUGUAUGUAUUGACGAAAAAUUCUUAAAUUUAUAGUUAACAAGGUGUAAAUUUUUAUAACUAUGUGGUAAGAGUCGAAAGGUGUGCUUGGAUCCGUGCCAAACAGUUGCUGGUAUCCGAAAGACAAAUUUGCAUUUCUGUAUUCAGGUACUCGAAUCUUUUCCUUAAGGACAAUAUUUAAAAUGAUUUCGGAAUAGACGAACUAAAAGUAAUAAUUUGAAUCCAUUCUCUAAUUUAAAAGGCAUGAUUACCCUAGAAUUUAAAUGUUUCUUUAUCUUUAGUUUCACUUGCAUUUUGAUUAUUAAUCCCGUUAGAUUUUCCCUAGCAGGUAUUUUAUUGGUGAUAUUCAAUAAUCGUGUUCGAACAUGAUUUUCAAUAUAGAAAUUAUGUCCAUUUAUAGGUAAAUGGUAUUUACACCUUGCCAAUGACCGUAUUGAAUGAUUUUAAAGUGAAUAUAUCUAAACUACUGGAUGUAAAAACAUUUGCCAAACGUAAGUAAACGGGAUGAAAGAAAUUUUGAUGAAUGUUUAACAUGUCAAAUAUUUUACCAUUAUGAAAUAAUCCUGUCGUGUUAUGACUGAAUUUUAUUUAUUAUUUACAUCAAUAUUUUUACAUAUAUUGAAAUAUAUUUGUCACACAAUUAUUUGUUAAUGUUUGUCUACCUGUAAAAUGCACAUGUUUGAAAAUACAGGUAAAUGAUUUAUGUCUGAUAACUUCAUUAUUGCACAUAACACUGUUUUGGCGGUAUGUAUUUAAUUAUAAGUAUUUGCAUGUAAGCAUACACUGUUAGAGAUUGUGUAAUUUUAAUAUGUACAAUUUUAAAAUUAGAACAUGUGUUUUUAUAUUGAAUUUUAAGCUGAUUACGUCAUUAUUUUCAAAAUAUUGAGACCCUAUUACAUUCAAUGAAUUACUGGGUAUACACUUAGGCAUUUGAUAAGCUUCAUGGUUGCUAGUUUACUAUUUAAACCAACUGUUCAUGCACUAAUUAUACAAUUGUGUGAAACAAUUUAGCAUGUUUAGCCUAGAUAUUUCAUUUAUGAUUGCAUUCACAGGAGUUAGAAACAUGUUAGACUGACAACACACAAAGAAAGAUGGAGAGACGACACUCAGGAUCCCUCUCCUCUCUUUCAGGGGGGCCACGCCACCAGGCACCCCCAGGACUUCUACAGAUGGGAAACCAAAGGGGGCAGGGAUACAGAUGCAAAUUCAGCAACUAGCAAGU